AUGGCAUAACAAGUCAAUAUAAAACGGUGGUAACGGUGGUAAUGAACCAGAGUAACCGACAUAGCUCUUUUAUACCCGGCCGAGUUUGUUGUGGGCUCUUCUCAGACUUGGACGCGUUGGAACCCUCGUAGCUUUAGUUUUAAGUUUACGUAAUUAAUUAUCACAACUAUAUCAUCUUUCAAAUUUAACAAAUCGAACAAACAAACGGUGUAGAAUAGUACCUAUUGUG